GACGAACGCUGGCGGCGUGCUUAACACAUGCAAGUCGAACGGAAAGGCCUUUUCGGAGGUACUCGAGUGGCGAACGGGUGAGUAACACGUGGGUGAUCUGCCCUGCACUCUGGGAUAAGCCUGGGAAACUGGGUCUAAUACCGGAUAGGACCGCACUUUAGUGUGUGUGGUGGAAAGUUUUUUCGGUGUAGGAUGAGCCCGCGGCCUAUCAGCUUGUUGGUGGGGUAAUGGCCUACCAAGGCGGCGACGGGUAGCCGGACUGAGAGGUUGGUCGGCCACAUUGGGACUGAGAUACGGCCCAGACUCCUACGGGAGGCAGCAGUGGGGAAUAUUGCACAAUGGGCGCAAGCCUGAUGCAGCGACGCCGCGUGGGGGAUGACGGCCUUCGGGUUGUAAACUCCUUUCGCCAGGGACGAAGCGUUUUGUGACGGUACCUGGAGAAGAAGCACCGGUUAACUACGUG
rnacentral:rRNA from 1 species